rnacentral:lncRNA from 1 species
AUUUCCAAGAUGAAUUCACUCAUUUGUUCAUUCCUAUCGUGUUAACAUUUUUUGUGUGAUAUGUCGGCCAUAUGAGCCUUUCAUAAAGGUGGUCAUCUGGAAAAGUAAGUGGGUCCGUGCGGUCCCUGAAAACUCUCGCGAGCCGGAGUGCUCCUCGGACAAUGCGAGCGCCGAGGUCUACAGGAUCCUCCGAGAGCGGACAAGCCGUAUUUCGAGAGAGCUCAUUGGUCAGUGGGCGGGGUUUUUAUGCUCGGUGAGUUCAAUCUGGAAUUUAACCUGCCCCGAAGCAGGUUAGCCGUUCAGCGUAUGUUGCUAUGGAGACUCGCCUCACUAAGAAGUGAACCCGCGUCGUAGAACAGAGGCCUGUACUACGAAGCUGGAUUAACACAUCCAGGAUAACUCUGCGACAACUCGCAGCCUUCUCAAAUGGAGAAGGCUGCACGUCAUUUUUCACAGCCGAAGAACAGAGCAUUAUUUUACGAGGAGUACCGCAACAUUAUAAGUGAGGAGCAGGACAGCCGCAGCCGCUAAAAGCAGGAGGGACUGCUGGUAAAAAAAAUCACCGGUUGUGUAAAUUACAUUUGUGCGUUCAUAAAUUUAUGGCCCCCUAAUAUGUUGUCAUGCAGCGUGUGUGACCACCUCCAUCAUUGACCUCAUUAUUUCAGACACAACAGCAGUGGGGAAAAGAGUACGUGGGAGCAAAUAAAAAUAAAUCCAAAAACAUCCUUUAAGUAGUUUGUAGGUUUAUUGGAAGAUUUUAUUUGUACAUAUUUCAACGCGUAAACAGUGAUUUCCUCACACUGCCUUUUUUUUUCUUCAUCAUCUGAUGGUCACAUGUCAUCUGCAGACACAUUUGGGGUUAAGAGGAGUUUUCCAAUCUGCUUCAAUAAAUUCUGAAUUAUGACUGAUAUGCUGGAUGAAAUUGGAACCUGGAGCUAGGCAAAUAUUAGUGCUUUGCUCAGACUUCAUGCUUUGUUGAGGCCGUCCGAGGAAAACCUGUAACGUUCAUAGAGAAUGUCAUCAGGUAAAUCAAACGGAUUUGAACGAUCAUGAAUACACACGAAGCGCUCCUCUCACUAUCCGUGCAACGAUGUCCCCGGGAUCCGGCAAAAGUGGGCAAGUCAUUUUCCAAGGGAUCCGAAUGGUCAUUGGGCGGUCUUUUAUACCUGCUGAGAUCUUAUCCUGAAACAUAACCUGCUCCGGAGCAGGUUUGGCGUUCCGCGUAAGUUACCGGGGCAACGGACCCGGAUAAAAAGAGAUCCACCUUCGUAGUACAGAAAACCCAGAAGUUAUCCAGAAGUUAUCUCGCUAAGACCAAAUCCAGCUUCGUAGUACAGGCCUCAGGAAACCCCGAAUUUACCCUCAAAGUUAUCUCGCUAAGCAGUAAUCCUGCUUCGUAGAACAGGCCCCUGCUCCGGAGCAGGUUAUGUUUCAGGAUAAGAGCUCAGCAGGUAUAAAAGACCGCCCAAUAACCAAUCGGAUCUCUUGGAAAAUGGCUUGCCCAAUCUUGCCGGAUCCCGGGGACAUCGUUGCACGGAUAGUGAGAGGAGCACUUCGCGUUAUAUUCAUGAUCGUUCAAAUCCGUUUGACUUAUCUGAUGACGUUCGCUAUGAACGUUACAGGUUUUCCUCGGACGGCCUCAACAAAGCAUGAAGUCUAAGCAAAGCACAAAUAUUUGCCAAGCUCCAGGUUCCAAUUUCAUACGGAAUAUCAGUCAUCAUUCAGAAUUUAUUGAAGCAGAUUAGAAAACUCUUAACCCCAAAUGUGUCUGCAGAUGACAUGUGACCAUCAGAUGAUGGAGAAAAAAAGAAAAAAAGGCAGUGUGAGGAAAUCACUGUUCACGCGUUGAAAUAUACAGAUAAAAUCUUCCAAUAUACCUACAAACUACUUUAAAGGAUGUUUUUAGAUUUAUUUUUAUUUGCUCCCACGUACUCUUUUCCCCACUGCUGUUGUGUCUGAAAUAAUGAGGUCAAUGAUGGAGGUGAUCACACACCCUGCAUGACAACAUAUUAGGGGCCAUACAUUUAUGAACGCACAAAUGUAAUUUACUCAACCGGUGAUUUUUUUGCCAGCAGUCCCUCCGGCUUUUAGCGGCUGCGGCUGUCCUGCUCCUCCCUGUUAUAAUGUUGCGGUACUCUUGUAAAAUAAUGCUCUGUUCUUCAGCUGUGAAAAAUGACGUGCAGCCUUCUCCAUUGUAGAGAUUGGUCCGGUGGCACUGACCCCAGCCCCUUUACGUGUGCGCGCACAGAUCUGAAGUGGCCACACCUGGAUUCAGUUAUCGAGUUGAUAACCGGCUUCGUAGUACAGCUGAUCGGGAUUGCGGAGAUCCGGUGAAGUUUAGCGAGUUGUCGCAGAGUUAUCCUGGAUGUGUUAAUCCAGCUUCGUAGUACAGGGGCCUGUUCUACGAAGCAGGUUCAACCUAGCGAGGUAGCCUUGGAGCUACCUCGCUCAACUUAGCGCGGUAGCCAGCGGUCUCACGAAGCUGGUUAUCAACCUCAUAAGUGGAUCCAGCUCUGCUAUGAGCGCGUGCACGCAUAUAAGGCGGAGCCCGCCGCAUCUGACCAAUCGCGAACAUGGAUCAGUCUGGAGCGUCAGAGCAGGCUGGAGAGUGAAGGACCGCGGACUUUACAAACAAGGAACAGGAGACGAUCAUGAGAAAGUAUGAAGAAUUCAAAGCUACCAUAAACCUCAAAAGCAACACCGUCGCCGCUGCAAAAGCACGGAGGGAAUGUUGGCAGAAAAGUAAUCUUUGAUGCCAUUAUCACCCUGAAAUAGCACUGUUCAACAUGCGCUUUUAACUAAGGUGACAGUCCCCGAAUUGGAUGAUCUGUCCCCGGAUAAAGCUGUCCCCGAUUUAAGCGUUUCAUGAAUGAGAACAAAAAUGUUGCAUGUGGGCUAGAACAACGGUUGUUACAGUGGGUAGGAAGCACAAGUAAACAGUCCUGAACAACAGUAUUUACGGGGUUAUUAUAAGGGGCGUGCGCUGCUACUAAAUAAUACCGAGAUGUUGUCUGUGAUCGCGCAGCCCAUGCCCAUUCAUUCCUAAGAUGAAUCAUUCAUUUGUUCAUUCCUAUCAUGUUUACAUGUUUUGUGUGAUAUGUCGGCCAUAUGAGCCUUUCAUAAAGGUGGUCAUCUGGAAAAGUAAAUGGGUCCGUGCAGUCCCUGAAAACUCUCGCGAGCCGGAGUGCUCCUCCUCAGACAAUGCGAGCACCGAGGUCUACAGGAUCCUCCAAGAACGGACAAGCCGUUUUUCGAGAGAGCUCAUUGGUCAGUGGGCGGGGUUUUUAUACUCGGUGAGUUCAAUCUGGAACUUAACCUGCCCCGGAGCAGGUUAGCCGUUCAGCGUAUAUUGCUAUGGAGACUCGCCUCGCUAAGAAGUGAACCCGCGUCGUAGAACAGGAAACCCCGAACUUAUCCUCGAAGUUACCUCGCUAAGCAGUAAUCCUGCUUCGUUGAACAGGCCCCAGGCCUCAGGUAUAAAAGACCGCCCGACGACCAAUCAGAUCUCUUGGAAAAUGGCUUGCCCACUUUUGCUGGAUCCCGGGGACAUCGUUGCAUGGAUAGUGAGAGGAGCGCGUCGCCGAGAGCGUUAUAUUCAUGAUCGUUCAAUCCGUUUGAUUUACCUGAUGACGUUCUCUAUGAAUGUUACAGGUUUUCCUUGGACGGCCUCAAUAUUCAGGCUGCAUGAAGUCUAAGCAAUGCACUAAUAUUUGCCAAGCUCCAGGUUCCAAUUUCAUGCAGCAUUUCAGUCAUCAUUCAGAAUUUAUUGAAGCAGAUUAGAAAACUCCUCUUAACCCCAAAUGUGUCUGCAGAUGACAUGUGACCAUCAGAUGAUGGAGAAAAAAGAAAAAAAGACAGUGUGAGGUUAAAAUAUGUA